CGGCUUCCGGCGUUGUUGCCCACGUGACUUCCGGUGGAGACAUGGCGGCUCUCUGCAGUGUCCGCUGGCUGACCCGGGCACUGGUGGCCGCCCCGCACCCCGCGCCAUGGAGGAGCCUGGGCACGUCGGCCGCGGCCCAGGCCGCCGCGCGGAGCCAGGCCGAGGACGUGAAGGUGGAGGGCGCGUUCCCCGUGACCAUGCUGCCGGGCGACGGCGUGGGCCCCGAACUCAUGCACGCCGUCAAGGAAGUAUUCAAGGCCGCCUGUGUCCCAGUGGAGUUCCAGGAGUACCACCUGAGCGAGGUGCAGAAUAUGGCCUCUGAGGAGAAGCUGGACCAAGUGCUGAAGUCCAUGAAGGAGAACAAAGUGGCCAUUAUUGGAAAGAUCCACACCCCGAUGGAGUAUAAGGGGGAACUGGCCUCCUAUGAUAUGCGGCUGAGGCGGACGUUGGACUUGUUUGCCAAUGUCGUGCACGUGAAGUCGCUUCCUGGGUACAUGACCCGGCACAACAAUCUGGACCUGGUGAUCAUUCGAGAGCAGACCGAAGGCGAGUACAGCUCCCUGGAACACGAGAGCGCCAAGGGUGUGAUUGAGUGCCUGAAGAUCGUCACUCGCACCAAGUCCCAGCGCAUCGCCAAGUUUGCCUUUGACUAUGCCACCAAGAAGGGGCGGAGCAAGGUCACAGCUGUGCACAAGGCCAACAUCAUGAAACUCGGGGAUGGCUUGUUCCUGCAAUGCUGUAAGGAAAUUGCCGAGUUGUACCCCAAGAUCAAGUUUGAGACGAUGAUCAUAGAUAACUGCUGCAUGCAGCUGGUGCAGAACCCUUAUCAGUUUGAUGUGCUUGUGAUGCCCAAUCUCUACGGGAACAUCAUUGACAAUCUGGCUGCGGGCCUGGUGGGGGGAGCCGGCGUGGUCCCUGGCGAGAGCUACAGUGCCGAGUACGCAGUCUUCGAGACGGGCGCCCGGCACCCGUUUGCCCAGGCGGUGGGCAGGAAUAUUGCCAACCCCACAGCCAUGCUGCUCUCAGCCUCCAACAUGCUCCGGCACCUCAAUCUCGAAUACCACUCCACCAUGAUUUCCGAUGCCGUGAAGAAGGUGAUCAAAGUCGGCAAGGUGCGGACUCGAGACAUGGGCGGCUACUGCACCACCACCGACUUCAUCAAGUCCGUCAUCAGCCACCUGCACCCCCAAGGGGGCUAAGCCCAUUAUUCUUUGCAGCCUAACAAGGAAGGACCAUCCCACCCACACAUCCCUUCAGUACAGUGGACCAGCCAGAAGCAAGCCCUUAAGCUAGAGCCAGACCAGUCACUCCCGCUCCUAGGUCCGAACUUCCGACAUGGGUGGCUAUGCCACCUGCCACGACUUCACUGAGGCGGUCAUUGAUGCCCUGCCCCACUCAUAGGCCCCACCCACACCCAUAGGUGGUAUCCAAUAAAUACACUGAUCACAUUCGA